CCAGAAUCAACAUUGAAAGAAACAUUGUGAUUUUCAGAUAAACUUUCCAAACUUUCAACAAACACUGAAAGUCCACUUAAACAAGAGAAGAUUGAGAUGGAACAUAAGUUUACCGCUUUUACAAUGCACUUCGAUAAGUUCAAAACACAAAUUAUGAUGAGACAAAUGUUCAUCAAUUGGUGUUCUUUUAAUCCUUUAAUGAAAACAUACUCCAAAUUAAUACCGAAACAUAAAAGAUGAAUAUAAGAAAAUACUCAAUCGUGAAUUAAAACUAAUAAAGUCACAUGUCAUAUUUGUAAGUAACCACUUUGAUUUGUAAUAAGAACCACCUCAAUCUUCUCAAUGUUUAACUGAUAUAACAAAGCCAACAGUUUGUUAUUUUCUGGCUUGCUCAUAAAUGCUUAUAUAUGAUUUGGAAAUUAUAGACUUUCUGUGAUCAGUGGCAACAAAAAACUUAAUCAAGUAAUCGAGGGACCACGAAAGUGUUAUUUUCCGCUGGCUGAGGC